rnacentral:rRNA from 1 species
GGGUGAGGGUGUUCACCUAUCAAAAGGGAUCGUGAGCUGGGUUCAGAACGCUGCGAGGCAGUUUGUUUGAUAUCUACUGGGAGUGUUUAAGCGUCUGAGGGGAAGGAUCCUCUAGUACGAGAGGAACGAGGAUUCGAAGCCACUGGUCGACCGGUUAUCCGACAGGGUAGGCCGGGCAGCUACGCUUUACGCAGGUAAGUGCUGAAAGCAUCUAAGCACGAAACUGCCCUUGAAAAGAGACGCAUGGACGCCCAUAGAAGAUGGGGUCGAUAGAGCUGGUGUGUAAGUGCCAAGGUAACAAGGUAUUCAGCACGCAGCCACUAAUAAGUCCGAAACCUCUUUUAU